rnacentral:rRNA from 1 species
GACGAACGCUGGCGGCGUGCUUAACACAUGCAAGUCGAACGGUGAAGCUCCAGCUUGCUGGAGUGGAUCAGUGGCGAACGGGUGAGUAACACGUGAGCAACCUGCCCCUGACUCUGGAAUAAGCGCUGGAAACGGCGUCUAAUACUGGAUACGAGAAGGGUCCGCAUGGGCACCUUCUGGAAAGUUUUUCGGUUGGGGAUGGGCUCGCGGCCUAUCAGCUUGUUGGUGAGGUAAUGGCUCACCAAGGCGACGACGGGUAGCCGGCCUGAGAGGGCGACCGGCCACACUGGGACUGAGACACGGCCCAGACUCCUACGGGAGGCAGCAGUGGGGAAUAUUGCACAAUGGGCGAAAGCCUGAUGCAGCGACGCCGCGUGAGGGAUGACGGCCUUCGGGUUGUAAACCUCUUUCAUCAGGGAAGAAGCGAAAGUGACGGUACCUGCAGAAGAAGCACCGGCUAACUACGUG